CGAUUGGAUCACCUGGAUGUUGAGCCAUCCACAUGCAAACCAAGGAAGGAGAGUGUGAGCUCCUGGCUGGAGAAUUCGCUCACAAGGGUGACGUGAUCAUCUUACGUGUAAAAGAAAACCGAAUUUCACUUCUGGUGGUGACUAUUGUCUGAUUCAUCAUUACAGUAACCACCCAAGGAAACCCUGCCCACAAAAUGCAUUCUUCUGGAGAAGUAACAGUUUUUGGUGACACACAUGAUGGCAACAAUGAACGCUUUGUGGCACGAUGACCUCUAUGAAAAAGAGAGAUAUACAGGUUUUGCUUUUGUUCACUCAACUAAUUACCAACCUUUCAUUAUACCUCUACUCGGACAUCUAAACUUCAGUUAAGCUCUAUGUUUAAGUGGGAUGGAUCUUCAAUUUGCCUACCUAAGGGUAAGAUGUCUCCAAACAGCAUGCAAAAUAAUUUGGGAUUUGAGUCAGGUUUACAGAGGCAUCAUUUGACAAUUAUCAACUUUGAUAAAUGCAGAUUGUCAUGGAACUACCACCAGAAUCCAGAUAGAGAACAUUCUAUCAUCCCUGUUAUAUCCCUUUGUGGCUAAUCUCCCACACUGUU